rnacentral:rRNA from 1 species
AGCGAACGCUGGCGGCAGGCUUAACACAUGCAAGUCGAGCGGGCAUCUUCGGAUGUCAGCGGCAGACGGGUGAGUAACACGUGGGAACGUACCCUUCGGUUCGGAACAACUCUGGGAAACUGGAGCUAAUACCGGAUACGCCCUUAUGGGGAAAGGUUUACUGCCGAAGGAUCGGCCCGCGUCUGAUUCGCUAGUUGGUGGGGUAACGGCCUACCAAGGCGACGAUCAGUAGCUGGUCUGAGAGGAUGAUCAGCCACACUGGGACUGAGACACGGCCCAGACUCCUACGGGAGGCAGGAGUGGGGAAUAUUGGACAAUGGGGGCAAGGCUGAUCCAGCCAUGCCGGGUGAGUGAUGUAGGCCUUAGGGUAGUAAAGCUCGUUUGUCCGGGACGAUAAUGACGGUACCGGAAGAAUAAGCCCCGGCUAACUUCGUG